UUAAGUUUAGUGGGUAGUUUUACCCAAUUUGAGGUCAAGGUUUUCUUUUUGUGGGUCCAGCCUCCUGCUGAUGUAGACAGUGGUGACCAGAGCACCAUCAUUGUCAAUGAGACAGUUAGGAGCAGGCAUUCAAGGGACAGAGCUAAACCCAAAAUGUAGAAACAUUUUAUCAUGUCAAGGAUCAGCAAAGUGGACCCCAC
rnacentral:misc_RNA from 1 species